AACUGUCACCCUCUCUGACCUCUCACCCAUUGGAAGAGGAAAGAGUCACACUGGUCCAAGAAAUGCAAAGGGUCCAAGAAAUGCAGAGUCCAUCUCUGAAUGCUGCAUCUACUCAAUGCCACCUUAGAUCAGCUAUGCUCAGAGGGGUACAGACUGCACCAGAGAAUUUCCUAGAAGACCUUAUGAGGAAAAUUUUCCAUUUUUUCAAAGGUGGAAAAAAUCUGAUUUUUCUUACAUGCAGAACUCUUGAGCAACAUCAACAUAGACUAUGAGGGCAGCAUCAGCAAAAUAAGUUUUAUACCUGGUGAGUUAUCAAUGCCAGAAAAAAAUGUAUACGUAUGCAUAUAUAUGUAUGUAUGUGUAUUUCUUAGUGAUCCAUGGGCCUAUGAUGGUAAUGUAUUUCUGGUUUUCAAUAAAAAACUUAAUAAUGUGGAAAAAGUGUUAUGUAUAAAAUCAACCUCAUUCUAAUGUUGAGACUUUGAAAUAGCCAGCCAUACUCCCUC
rnacentral:lncRNA from 1 species